rnacentral:lncRNA from 1 species
UAUAUUAUGGUGGGCGUCUAUGGGUCCCCUAUAUUAGGUAUGGGUGGCUAUGGUCCCUAUAUAUGACGGUGCGUCUAUGGGGUCCCUAUAUUAUGGGUGGGGGUCUAUGGGGGUCCCUAUAUUAUGGGUAUGGGGUGGGGGUCUAUGGGGUCCCUAUAUUAUGGGUGGGGGUCUAUGGGGUCCCUAUAUUAUGGGUGGGGGUCUAUGGGGUCCCUAUAUUAUGGGUGGGGUCAUGCUCCCUAUAUUAUGUAUGAGUGGGUCUAUGGGGCCUAUAUUAUGUGGGCCUAUGGGUCCCUAUAUUAUGGUAAGGUGGGUCUAUGGGGUCCCUAUAUUAUGGUUGGGGCUAGUCCCUAAUUAUGUGGGGUCUAUGUGGGUCCCUAUAUUAUGGGUGGGGUCUCUGUCUCACCGGGUGCGAACUGUGUCUUCCCAUAGAACCUGGCUCUCCCCGCUCUGUGUCCGGCCACCAGCACCGCGUCCCCCGGGGCCACACGGCGCCCGUCACGGUCCAACCAGGACGCGGCUUUCUUACGGGAUGCUGAGGGAGGGGAGAAAAACACGCCCUGAUUGGCCAGUCCCCACAUUAGCCCCGCCCCCAUUAGCCACGCCACUAAUAAACCCCACCCUCUGAUUGGCCCGUUCCCAUUAGCCCCGCCCCCUUAUUAUCCCUGCCCCC